CCUACGGGUGACAGCAGUGAGGAAUAUUGGUCAAUGGACGGAAGCCUGAACCAGCCAUGCCGCGUGCAGGAAGACGGCUCUAUGAGUUGUAAACUUCUUUUGUACAAGGGUAAACCUGAAUACGUGUAUUCAGCUGAAAGUACUGUACGAAUAAGGAUCGGCUAACUCCGUGCCAGCAGCCGCGGUAAUACGGAGGAUCCAAGCGUUAUCCGGAUUUAUUGGGUUUAAAGGGUGCGUAGGCGGAUUGUUAAGUUAGAGGUGAAAUGUCCGGGCUUAACUCGGGAACUGCCUCUAAUACUGUUGAUCUAGAGAGUAGAUGAGGUAGGCGGAAUGUAUGGUGUAGCGGUGAAAUGCUUAGAGAUCAUACAGAACACCGAUUGCGAAGGCAGCUUACCAAUCUAUAUCUGACGUUGAGGCACGAAAGCGUGGGGAGCAAACAGGAUUAGAUACCCCAGUAGUC
rnacentral:rRNA from 1 species